rnacentral:rRNA from 1 species
CAGAUCAUAGCGUAUAGUAACAAUGAUGUCAGCGCGUUUGAGAGCCCCACGAGGUCCUAUCCAGGGAAAACGUAUUGGAUCCUCUAACGUUUGAGUCACCUGCCCAUAAGACUGGGAUAACUCCCGGAAACCGGGGCUAAUACCGGAUAACAUUUUGAACCGCAGGGUUCGAAAUUGAAAGGCGGCUUCGGCUGUCACUUAUGGAUGGACCCGCGUCGCAUUAGCUAGUUGGUGAGGUAACGGCUCACCAAGGCAACGAUGCGUAGCCGACCUGAGAGGGUGAUCGGCCACACUGGGACUGAGACACGGCCCAGACUCCUACGGGAGGCAGCAGUAGGGAAUCUUCCGCAAUGGACGAAAGUCUGACGGAGCAACGCCGCGUGAGUGAUGAAGGCUUUCGGGUCGUAAAACUCUUUUGUUAGGGAAGAACAAGUGCUAGUUGAAUAAGCUGGCACCUUGACGGUACCUAACCAGAAAGCCACGGCUAACUACGUGCCAGCAGCCUCGGUAAUACAUAGGUGGCAAGCGUUAUCCGGGAAUUAUUGGGCGUAAAGCGCGCGCAGGUGGUUUCUUAAGUCUUGAUGUGAAAGCCCACGGCUCAACCGUGGGAGGGUCAUUGGGAAACUGGGGAGACUUGAGUGCAGAAGAGGAAAGUGGAAUUCUUUGUGUAGCGGGGAAAUGGGUAGGAGAUGUGGGGGGACACGCGGGGCGUGUGUGUCCUAUAACAAUCUCUCCACUGUAUCGCGAACACUCGCACAACAAGCAGCAUAACUCAGAAGAAGCGUUUUCACCACCCCCCCACCAAGAGCAGAACGUUCAACCCCCUUCACCCCCCUUCCCCCCAGGGAGAUAGCCACGGGCCCGCAAGGGUCUAAAAAUUCCAAAGGGAAUUUCUACCGCUUACCAAGGUUUGGAAACCUUCGAAAAACCCAAAAGAUAGGGUUUUUCUUUCGGAACAAAAUUAACAGGUGGGGCAUGGUGGUGGUAAGCUCCGGGUCUUAAGAUGUGGGGUUAAGUCCCGAAACAAGGGAAACCCUUAUUUUAAGUGGCCAUCAUUAAGUGGGGCAUUCUAAGGUGACGCCCGGUGACAAACCGGAGGAAGGGGGGGAGGAGGUAAAAUCAUCAUGCCCUUUAUGCCUUGGGCUACACACUUGCUACAAUGGACGGUAAAAAAAGUUGCAAGACCGGGAGGUGGAGUUAAUUUAAUAAAACCGUUUUCAGUUGGGAUGGUAGGUUGCAAUUGGCUUACUUGAAGCGGGAAUCGCUGGUAAUGGCGAAUAAGCAUGCCGCGGGAAUAGGUUCCGGGGAAAAAGGAACCGCAUGGUCCUCAGAGUUGAACAGGUCAGAAUUUAACCCAGAGGGCUUCCUCUCAGUUAGAGCAU